rnacentral:rRNA from 1 species
AAUCAACGCUGGCGGCGUGCCUCAGACAUGCAAGUCGAACGAUUAAAGCUCUCUUCGGAGGGUGCAUAAAGUGGCGCACGGGUGAGUAACACGUAAGUAAUCUACCUUCGAGUGGGAAUAACGUCCGGAAACGGACGCUAAUACCGCAUAAUGCAGUGGCACCUAAUGGUGACAGUUGUUAAAGAAUUUAUUCGCUUGAAGAGGAGCUUGCGGCAGAUUAGCUAGUUGGUAAGGUAAUGGCUUACCAAGGCUUCGAUCUGUAACCGGUCUAAGAGGACGGUCGGUCACACUGACACUGAAUAACGGGUCAGACUCCUACGGGAGGCAGCAGUCGGGAAUUUUGGGCAAUGGGCGAAAGCCUGACCCAGCAACGCCGCGUGAAGGAUGAAGUAUUUCGGUAUGUAAACUUCGAAAGAAUGGGAAGAAUCAAUGACGGUACCAUUUAUAAGGUCCGGCUAACUACGUGCCAGCCGCCGCGGUAACAC